UCCGUUAAGUCAACAUAUUCAGUCAAAUCAGCUGAUGUGUCAGUUGGUAUGAGGAGACAAAGAGGCACCGUCGACCCGUUUUGGUACGCAGAAGCAAUCACGUCACAGACAUCGGAUCUGUGUUCAUUACGCAGUGUAGUAAAUAUGUCAGUUUGAUGUAAUGCAUUAUUAGAACGUGAAUUAAAUUGACUGUUAUUGGAA